CACGUCGUACUCCUGCCGGGCCUCGCGGUCCAUGUUGGGCAGCGCCGUGCGGAUGAUUCCUGCAGGUGUGAAGGACUGCGAAUAAAGUUCGAGGAUGAUGCGUCUGCAGUAUGGAAGCGAAGAAUCUGGAUUAUUCCACAGAGGUUUGCGCCGACUGCCAAUCCGGUUGAUGGCACGUUCCUACGACUUGGCCAGAGGUGCAAGAGAGCUAGCUGUGCAGCAAAUGAGAUAACGACUCCCUCGGCUUUUGUCAACCACACAGAACAACAUGAAGGCCCAGAUCUGCCUUGCGGAGCCUUGAGUUUGACACGUGUGCCGAAUCAAGAUAAAACGCCUCC